AGACUUUUUUUUUUUGACGGGGGAGGGGGGGAGGUUGGUCAGGCAUUUGAAGUCCUUGGAAGUGUAAUUGGACUCAGUCCAGUGGAGCUGGCUGGCCGGCCCGUGGUGUCUCUUAGAGUGAUAGGGGAGAACAAAUAUAUCAGAGCACAUAAAGCAUAUAGUAAGUCUAUAGAUGUUCGGGAAAGAAACCAAAUGAAGCUGAUGGUAGCCUUCCCUAGGGUCAGGCCCCGCCUAUCAGGAAUGACCCACCAGCCUCCACCAAACCCUGCAUUUAGCUGGAGUUCUCCCACUGCCACUGGGAGUCACUGGAGAUGGCCUGUCCUGCCCUGCCCUUGGGCUUUGCCUACUAGGUUCAUCCUGGUCAUAUCAGCAUCUACCAAAGCCUGGUGCAGACUGGAGCUCUGAGUCUCCAACAAUAGGAGUUCCAGGGAAGCUCCCAGCUGAGAAGGGAGUCUGUGGUACAUCAGCCCUGCCUCCAGUGCCUGCCUCCAGGUUGUGUUAGCCAAAGAAACAAAAGGAAAAAAAAAUCA
rnacentral:lncRNA from 1 species